AAAAACCCACGAAGAAGAAGACGCUGACGUCAUCGCAUGCGACGCUUGCACCCCUGUUCUUCUUUGAUCUCAUCACCUCACGUAUCUUUCUGCUCUUUUAUAUAGCACCCACAAAAGGCACUUUUAAGAGCCACAUCUGUUUUAUCUGUUUGUCAUCUUUGUUUCCUUAAUUUGUCUAUUCUUAACUUGUCAACAGUUCUGUCUGUCUGUCUGUCUGUCCUUCACCAUGAGUGUCUCAAACAUCUCUGAUCCAUUAAUGGACCUAGAAACUGAGAUACAACAGCAAAAAAUAAAUCUCGAGCUUCAGCAACUUGAUGACUUGCUUGUUGAGCUGAAGAAAGAUGAUCAAGUACCUAUGAAGAUACCUGAACCAACAGUAAGGUGGAUAAAAAGGGAUAAAGAUGGUAACAGAGUUUAUAAAAGGGCAAGAUAAACAAGAAAUCAAUUACCUAAGACGUCCCACAGUGAGAAGACCAGAUGUCCCUCUCAUCCCUCUACCAGUCAGUGUGAGGCUGCCUUUGCUCCAGAGACUGUUGAGUCUUUUCUACAAGAACUCCAGAGUUCACUGAAUGAUGCUGCAGGUCAACCAAUAGUGCCAAAAGUUCCUCUGGCGUCCACUAACUGGAGCACAAGAAAAAGCAUAUUUUUGGAGAGUUGGAAAGCAGAAAGACCCCGCCUGGUUAACACCAUAGCAGCUCAGCACAGUGUGUCAGCCCCUUUUUGCCAACAAUGUGGAAAAAAUCCAUCUGCACUUCGGUGUCGUGAUUGCCUACCACACCCCUUCUUUUGUGAGAAAUGUGAUGUGAUGAUGCACACCAGACAUGUCUUCCACAACAGAGAAACCAUCAUAGCUGGGUUUUUCCAGCCAUUACCUCCAACUACCUAUGUUUUAAAUACAACUCUUUGCAAUGAUGCACGAUUCGUACCUGUGGAGAUCCCAGUCAGAAUUUGUGAUUGUCCAUCAGAGUGUUUGAAGAUCAAACCAGGAAAGGCAGUCACUGUGGUCACAAUCAAUGGUGAUACGUU